CCUCGCUCCAGGUCAGCCUGCCACAGCAUCAGUGCCCACUGCCAUCCUGCCAGAUCAGGGCAGAGCCACGGAAAAGCCCAUGCCCAGGGCACAACAGAGCUGAACAGAGCUCUGCGCUCAGAGUAACAGAAUGAAUCAGGGCAGGAGCAAAUCCUGCCAGCAGCGAUGCCGGUGUGAAGCUGAAGCAAUCGCACAGUGUCAUGGCAGCAGGACCAAGCGCAGAGCUGCAUCCAGAGUGCUCAGAGGGUGAAGCUACCCACAGCGAUGCACAGCACAGCUACAGCAACAGAAGAUGAAAGUGCCCAAGGUCCAAGAAGCAGAGGUGCGAUUGCCUGGCUUGGCACCACUGCCCUAAGCAGACUGGAACAUAGGAUGGGAAGAAACAUCACCAGCGUGGGUGUUUUUGUUCCUUGGCAGUGAUCACAGCCUCACUGGUGGCAGAGAAGAAAUAUUAUAUGCAUAACAAUUUUUGUCUUGGCAGGUGCACAUCUUGUAUGUCUUGUUAUCUUAUCCAGCAGGCUGGCCUCUGUCCCAGGGCAGGGAUCCACUGCUCUAGAUCCAGCCUUAGCAUCACAGACGUAUGGAAUAUGCUCUCUCCUGAAUAAUCCUGAUGCACAAACAUAUGGGCUAAACCCAGCAAGCAACUUCAGACCUCAUGUGAAUACACUUACAUAAUAAAACCUACAAAUCAGAAAGGUAUUUCAGCCUUGCUGUCCCAAGUGCCUCAUCUGACAGUUUGCAAGUGCCUUAAUGGCUGUACUUUAAUACUUCGUUCUAAAAUAGCGCUUAGUGCUUCCUUUUUUAAACAGUCUUGUUGAGAGUUACAACCUGAAACACUACCAACAUGUAUUUUUUUCCUAGUCUUUACAAUUCCUGUACAACUUCAAGGUUAAGAAGCAGGAGACAUGUAAUUGUAUAAAAGACUAAGCCGUACCGUAAGCGCAGCUGAUUCUCACAUGAAAUCCAGCAUAGUGACUUUGCAAUACACUGCCACACUGCGAGCAGAACGUCCUUAUCUUCAUUACAAUUUGCCUAUAUGCCAACCUAGUAAGUCUGGACUCUGUAAUGAUGCCCAGGAGGGCAGAACCAGAUGAAAGAGAACCUCCCUACCUCUUCCCCCACACAGCAUCCAUUGCAGUCAGCAGUUGUAAAGUGACUUCUUCGAACAAAAAUCCCGGCUCAGCUCAGUGGAGAACGGAGUCCGCAGCUAAGAGUCACGCUGCUGCAUUGCAUUCUGCCUUCUUUUCUGGGAGGAUAUAAGGCACCACUCCCAAUGCAGAACAGCAGUGUGCUCUCCAGGGG
rnacentral:lncRNA from 1 species